UCAUGGCGGCUGUGCGUGGGAGGCCUUCGGGUCUGCCGGUUCCCUUGGAUGCCGGUUCGCCAACCUGCGCACAGUCCGCCUCCA
rnacentral:antisense_RNA from 1 species